UACAGAGGUCUCAAGCGUUGUCCGGAUUUACUGGGCGUAAAGAGCGCGCAGGCGGUCGUUCAAGUCGCGUGUGAAAGCCCCCGGCUCAACUGGGGAGGGUCACGCGAUACUGAUCGACUCGAAGGCAGGAGAGGGUAGUGGAAUUCCCGGUGUAGUGGUGAAAUGCGUAGAUAUCGGAAAGAACACCAACGGCGAAAGCACUCUGCUGGGCCGACACUGACACUGAGAGACGAAAGCUAGGGGAGCGAAUGGG
rnacentral:rRNA from 1 species